rnacentral:rRNA from 1 species
UACGUAGGGCGCAAGCGUUGUCCGGAAUUAUUGGGCGUAAAGAGCUCGUAGGUGGUUUGUUACGUCUGCUGUGAAAACCUAGGGCUUAACCCUGGGCCUGCAGUGGAUACGGGCAGACUAGAGGUAGGUAGGGGAGAAUGGAAUUCCCGGUGUAGCGGUGAAAUGCGCAGAUAUCAGGAGGAACACCGGUGGCGAAGGCGGGUCUCUGGGCAGUAACUGACGCUGAGGAGCGAAAGCGUGGGGAGCGAACAGG